AGAGUUAUAAAACAUAGUGACUGUAAAAACAAAAACAAAAAUUGGUAAAUCAAAAAACAAAAAAAAAUUGUACAAGUGAUACAAAUUUCUUCAGUGGAGAAGGCUCAUCAUAAGAAUUACAGCUGAAAAGGAACUCAAUAAAUAGAAAAAAUAGGGAAAUCAUAUAAGACAACUGAAUUAGCCAAGGAGAUGAGAAACGGAGCUCCGGUAAUGAAGAUGGGUCGGGUCAUGACUCAGGUUUUUGUUCUGAUAUUCCUUCUUCAAGGUGUUCAUUCCCGAACGUUACGAAGCGAAUCAAAUAAUGCCGCGGUUACGGUUAACACAUCUGGCGAUAAACAAGUGGUUGUUGAUAAUGGUAUAAUCCAAGUCACCUUCUCGAAUCCAGCGGGCUUAGUUACUGGAAUCAAGUAUAAAGGCUUUGACAAUGUGUUGAACGAAAAAUCAAGAAUCGAGUGUAUUGGGAUAUAGUAUGGUAUGAACCAGGACAAGUAUCGCAGACAGAUUUUUUAAUAGGAGAAAAGUUCAAAAUAAUAAGUCAAACAAGUGAGCAAGUCGAAAUUUCAUUUUCUAAAACAUGGGAUACCUCUCGACGCGGCUCGACAGUCCCAUUAAACGUGGAUAAAAGAUAUAUUAUUCGACGCGGUGUAAUCGGAGUGUAUAUGUACGGUGUGUUAGAGAGGUUAGAAGGUUGGCCGGCAGUAACAAUGGACCAAACCAGAAUCGUCUACAAGCUUAACGCAACAAAGUUCGAUUAUAUGGCUGUAGCAGAUCGUCGACAGAAUCUAAUGCCUUUAGAAGCAGAUCGAAAUCUCACCGAUGGUAGUGCCGCUACAUUGGAAUACAAAGAAGCGGUUCGGUUGGUAAAACCACAAAAUAAAUUAUUUAAAGGGCAGGUUGACGAUAAGUAUCUUUACUCAAUGGAAGGCAAGGACAACAGACUACAUGGUUGGAUCGCUUCUGAACAACGUGUCGGCUUCUGGAUUAUUACUGCCAGCAACGAGUUCCGUACUUGUGGGCCCGUCAAACAAGAACUCACUUCUCAUGUUGGACCCACCUUACUUUCUAUGUUUACAAGUACACACUAUGCGGGAAAAGAACUCAACACAACUUACGCAAGCGAUGUGCCGUGGAAGAAGAUGUUUGGUCCUGUCUUUGUUUAUCUUAACUCUGCCCCCUCUCAUGAUCUCAUGUGGACCGAUGCUAAACGACAGUUGGCUGCCGAGGUUAAAAGCUGGCCUUAUGACUUCGUGAAGUCAGUAGAUUACCCUCUUCGCCAACAAAGAGGAACAGUCAAGGGUCAACUAUUUGUCAUGGACAGCUUCAAAAGCAAGUCGAAGUUAAACGGAGAGUUUGCUUUUGUGGGUUUAGCAUUACCUGGCGAAGUUGGUUCAUGGCAAACCGAAAACAAGGGAUAUCAAUUUUGGACAAAAGCAGACAAAAUGGGGAUGUUCACAAUAGCGAAUGUGAGACCUGGGACAUAUAACCUCUUCGCAUGGGCUGCCGGACAUAUUGGCGACUAUAAAUACGAGCGUGAAAUUAUAAUUACACCAGGUAAGGCAAUAAACGUAGGAUCCUUAGUGUAUGAGCCGCCAAGAAGUGGUCCGACGCUGUGGGAGAUCGGUGUACCGGAUCGGACCGCCUUAGAAUUCAAUAUCCCAGAUCCGGACCCAGCCCUUGUGACCAAACUAUAUGCAAAUCACCCAAAUGCUCCUGAAGACAGAUUUAGACAAUAUGGUCUAUGGGAUCGUUACAAAGUAUUGUAUCCUCGAGAAGAUGUUACUUUUACUGUUGGAGUGAGUGACUAUAAAAAAGAUUGGUUCUUUGCACAUCUCAACAGGAGAGCUGGAGAAAAGAAACUUCAAGCAACGACAUGGAAAAUUGUUUUUAACUUAAAACAAGUGUCCCAAACUGGAAAUUAUACUCUUCGAAUGGCUUUGGCUGCAGCCAACACUGCCGAUAUAUUAGUUCGGGUCAACGAACCUAGCUCCAAACCUAUGUUUAGGACUGGGUUAGUAGGUCGGGAUAACGCGAUCGCUAGACAUGGAAUUCAUGGGUUAUACAGAUUGUUCAAUAUAGACGUUCAGAGAAAGUUGCUUAAGGUUGGUGACAAUACGAUUUUUCUCACUCAAAACCGGGUCACUAGUAUUUUUACAGGUGUCAUGUAUGAUUAUCUUCGAUUGGAAGGUCCUUCAGGAGCCAUAUAAUCUCUUAAUAAUAGAUAAGUGAGUGAUGGGAGAGUUUUAUUUUUAUCUUUUUAAUAAAAACGUGAGUGUUUAUUUUUUUAAUAGGAAGAUUUGUUAUAAAUAAUCAAUAAUUUUUGUAACCAGUGAAAUAAAGAUUUUGACUA